CAAAGAACUAUUUUCUUAAGAAAUGGAUGGUUUAUAGCCUGAUAUAUAAUUAUUUUUAAUCAUAGUUUAGUUUUUCAAACAGCAAAUUGUUGAUCUGAUUGCAUGAGGUUAUGAGUUGUCUUUCCUAAUUAUCUGAUGAAUUUAAAAAUAGUUUUUCAGGGUUAGGGAUGUAGUUCAGUGGCACAGUGCUUGCCUAGCAUGUGUGAGGUCCUGGAUUCAAUUUCUAACACCUGAAACAAAACACAAAAAUCAAAAAUGUCUUCAGAUAGAUUAAUUGCUUGUCAAAAAAUAGCGAAUAAUAGUCUCUCAUAAAUAACUGAAGCAAAAUUUAAUACUAGUGAAAAGGUCUAUAAAAAUGUUACAUUUUAAUAGUAUAUUCAAUGGCUACAUGGUUGAAAAUGAAGCAUUUUAAUGUUCUUUCUUAUUGUUUAUAGGUAACAUUUUAGGGAUGUAUCAUGAUUCUCUGCUUAGACCUCUAAAUUUCUAAUAUUUAAAAUUUGAUAUGCAGAAAUCAUUUAGCUUGAUUCCAGAUCUUUAUUCAGGAGGUCCACAAGGAUUUGAAAAUAUAUUGGAUAUUUUGCCACUAUAAUGUCGUCCUCCAAACAAACUAAAAAAGAAGGAGAUAAAAGAAAAAAGAAAGCAAAAGGAAACUAUAAAAUCUAAGUAGAUAUGAAAAGAUUUAAAAGCUAAUACCUGCUAAGAAAGAGGAAAUGUCUCAAAUAUAAAAUCUUGGUGAAUCUCCUAUGUAUUUUUCAACUUAGCACUUAUUGUGAUAUACUGCUAUCCAUUAGUGGUUUCAAUAACCAUUUCUUCUACUUGCCUUUUUAAAACAGCCUGACUUAAUUCCAUAAAUCCAUAUUUAUCAUUGCCAUUAAUGCAUAAUCUCUUCUUUACUAAGUCUAAAAGCAUUUUAACCUAUAAAUAUACAUAUAAACACAGAAAGGUGGGGAAAUUGCCUAUAAUAAUAAGUCAUUUCAA
rnacentral:lncRNA from 1 species